rnacentral:rRNA from 1 species
UACGUAGGGGGCAAGCGUUGUCCGGAUUUAUUGGGCGUAAAAGGCUUGUAGGUGGCCACGCCAAGUCGGAUGUGAAAUCUCCCGGCUCAACUGGGAGGGGUCAUUCGAUACUGGCGGGCUCGAGGCCGGUAGGGGGAAGUGGAAUUCCCGGUGUAGUGGUGGAAUGCGUAGAUAUCGGGAGGAACACCAGUGGCGAAGGCGGGUCUCUGGGCCGAUACUGACGCUGAGGAGCGAAAGCGUGGGGAGCGAACAGG